rnacentral:hammerhead_ribozyme from 1 species
AUCCAGCUGACAAGUCUUAAAUAGGAUGGAACGCGCAUCCUGGAU